GACGAACGCUGGCGGCGUGCUUAACACAUGCAAGUCGAACGGAAAGGCCCUGCUUGCGGGGGGCGCGCGAGUGGCGAACGGGUGAGACACAAGUGAGUUACCCGCCCUACACUUUGGGAUAACUGAAAGAAACGGGGGCAAACAACGGAUAGGCGUUCCGGAUGGGUUGUGGGGGGAGGAUUGUUGCGGUGGUGGAGGAUCUCGCGGCUUCUCAGCUUGUUGUUGGGGGAGUGGCUGACCAAGACUUCGACGGGUAGCCGGCGUGAGGGGGUGGCCGGCCACAUUGGGACUGAGAUACGGCCCAGACGCCUGCGGGAGGCAGCAGUGGGGAAUAUUGGACAGUGGGCGGAAGCCUGAUGCAGCAACGCCGCGUGCGGGAUGACGGCCUUCGGGUUGUAAACCGCUUUCGCCGGGGACGAAGCGGGAGUGACGGUAGUGGGAGAAGAAGCACCGGCUAACUACGUG
rnacentral:rRNA from 1 species